rnacentral:rRNA from 1 species
CCUACGGGAGGCAGCAGUGGGGAAUUUUGCACAAUGGGGGAAACCCUGAUGCAGCGACGCCGCGUGAUUAGAAGGCCUUCGGGUUGUAAAAAUCUUUUGUAUAGGAAGCAGUACUAUACGAAUAAGGUCCGGCUAAUUACGUGCCAGCAGCCGCGGUAAUACGUAAGGACCGAGCGUUGUCCGGAAUCAUUGGGCGUAAAGGGUACGUAGGCGGCUAGAAAAGUUAGAAGUCAAAGGCUAUAGCUCAACUAUAGUAAGCUUCUAAAACUAUUUAGCUUGAGAAAUGGAAGGGAAAGUGGAAUUCCUAGUGUAGCGGUGGAAUGCGCAGAUAUUAGGAAGAAUACCGGUGGCGAAGGCGACUUUCUGGCCAUUUCUGACGCUGAGGUACGAAAGCGUGGGUAGCAAACAGGAUUAGAUACCCUUGUAGUC